GGCUUCAACAUCCCCGCAGGCUGGGCGUGAUUGAAGGUUCUGUAGAGACGUAACUUGUUACGUCUUUCUGGCCCGACGAGAGCGCAGUGAGUCUGCUGGAGCC
rnacentral:sRNA from 1 species